rnacentral:rRNA from 1 species
CACGUAGGGCGCAAGCGUUGUCCGGAAUUAUUGGGCGUAAAGGGCUCGUAGGCGGUUUGUCGCGUCGGGAGUGAAAACUCAGGGCUUAACCCUGAGCCUGCUUCUGAUACGGGCAGACUAGAGGUAUGCAGGGGAGAACGGAAUUCCUGGUGUAGCGGUGAAAUGCGCAGAUAUCAGGAGGAACACCGGUGGCGAAGGCGGUUCUCUGGGCAUUACCUGACGCUGAGGAGCGAAAGUGUGGGGAGCGAACAGG